GGCUUCUGUACUGGAGCUGUGGGAAAUGGCUCGGGUUCUUCAGGCUUCUGUACUGGAGCUGUCGGGUACGGGUCAGUGCAUAAAGUCAAGGUGGAUGUCACCAAUAAAUUCUUCUCUAAAGCCAAAGCAAGUUUUGAGAGACUUUUGUAUGUACUUUUUGGAGUCAGCAAUAUCUCGCAAAGCCUCUGCAAUGUAAAAGGAGGACCCUCUAUAAAUCCUAAAAGAGCUUCAUCCAACCUUCUUACUGUAUCUUGGUAUGUUUGCCCCGCUAAAGAAGUCUGUUG
rnacentral:misc_RNA from 1 species